CCUACGGGUGGCUGCAGUCGAGAAUCAUUCACAAUGGGGGAAACCCUGAUGGUGCGACGCCGCGUGGGGGAAUGAAGGUCUUCGGAUUGUAAACCCCUGUCAUGUGGGAGCAAAUUAACAAGAUAGUACCACAAGAGGAAGACGCGGCUAACUCUGUGCCAGCAGCCGCGGUAAUACAGAGGUCUCAAGCGUUGUUCGGAAUCACUGGGCGUAAAGCGUGCGUAGGCUGUUUCGUAAGUCGUGUGUGAAAGGCGCGGGCUCAACCCGCGGACGGCAUAUGAUACUGCGAGACUAGAGUAAGGGAGGGGGAACCGGAAUUCUCGGUGUAGCAGUGAAAUGCGUAGAUAUCGAGAGGAACAUUCGUGGCGAAGGCGGGUUCCUGGACCUUAACUGACGCUGAGGCACGAAGGCCAGGGGAGCGAAAGGGAUUAGAUACCCGAGUAGUC
rnacentral:rRNA from 1 species